rnacentral:rRNA from 1 species
UACAGAGGUCCCAAGCGUUGUUCGGAUUCACUGGGCGUAAAGGGUGCGUAGGCGGUCGGGUAAGUCUGAUGUGAAAUCUCCGGGCUCAACCCGGAAAUGGCAUUGGAUACUAUUCGGCUCGAGGUCUGGAGGGGGGACUGGAAUACUUGGUGUAGCAGUGAAAUGCGUAGAUAUCAAGUGGAACACCAGUGGCGAAGGCGAGUCCCUGGACAGAUCCUGACGCUGAGGCACGAAAGCUAGGGGAGCAAACAGG